UAAAAUGAGAGAGAAAGAGGGGCCAAUGCUAUGAAGCAAUAAUCACAAGAACCCAAUUUCACGCCCUAAUCAAUUUUCAUUUCAUUUUCUCACAAACAAAAAGAAAAAGGCGCACUCUCUUUUCCUCUCUUCAAUUUCUUCGCCCCCUUCAACAAAUCUCUGCCUCCAAUCACAAAUCAACCUCCCCAACUGCCGUAGAUCUGUACAAAUCCCCCCUUUUCCCCAAAAUUAUCGCUCCAAAUCACAACCCUACCCAAUUUUUUUUGGGUCCCUGCAAGAAAUUCCAGGUUUUUCCUCUCGGAUUUUGCUAGGUUAGACCCCAAUCGCAACCCCAUUUCUAGAAUUCGCCGUUCGCGGGGUUCCGGAUUCAACGACCCUCGAGAAACCCUAGAUAGGUAGUGUGUAGCACCAUCUUGUACAUUGUUUAUUUUUGCGUAGAAUUUUUGUUUUUUUCAGUUUUAGAUCGGAAAGAUGAACAAUAGAGAGAACAAUAGAGAGAGAUACCCACCUGGGAUGGGGUUAGGUCGAGGUUUGAACCCGAACCAUGGGUUUCAACCGAGGGGACAUCACCAUCAGUAUGUGCAGAGGCACAUGGUGCAGCAUCAUCCGCAGCAGUAUCAACAGAAUCAUCAUCAACAACAUCAUCAUCAGCAACAUCAUCAACAGCAUCAUCAUCAACAACAACAGCAUCAUCAUCAUCAGCAGCAGCAACAGCAACAGUGGUUGAGAAGGAACCAAUUAGGUGGUGGGACCGACACAAACGUUGUUGAGGAGGUUGAGAAGACUGUACAGUCUGAAGCCGUUGACCCAAGUUCGCAAGAUUGGAAGGCAAGAUUAAAGAUUCCACCACCUGAUACACGCUAUAAGACAGAGGAUGUGACGGCAACUAAAGGAAAUGAAUUUGAGGAUUACUUUUUGAAGCGCGAGCUGCUUAUGGGAAUAUAUGAGAAAGGUUUUGAAAGACCAUCUCCUAUCCAAGAAGAGAGCAUUCCGAUUGCUCUUACUGGAAGUGACAUUCUUGCUAGGGCUAAAAAUGGAACAGGCAAAACAGCUGCGUUUUGUAUUCCAGCAUUGGAAAAAAUUGAUCAGGAUAAUAAUGUUAUUCAAGUUGUAAUAUUGGUCCCAACACGAGAACUGGCUUUGCAAACAUCUCAAGUUUGUAAAGAGCUUGGAAAACAUUUGCAAAUUCAAGUUAUGGUUACAACAGGUGGUACCAGCCUGAAAGAUGAUAUUAUGCGCUUAUAUCAACCAGUUCAUCUACUAGUUGGAACUCCAGGAAGGAUAUUAGAUCUUGCAAAGAAGGGUGUUUGCAUUCUGAAAGAUUGCUCUAUGCUUGUUAUGGAUGAGGCUGAUAAGCUUCUCUCCCCAGAGUUCCAACCUUCAAUAGAGCAGCUGAUUCAAUUUCUUCCUGGAAACCGUCAAAUUCUGAUGUUUUCUGCUACAUUUCCUGUUACUGUUAAGGACUUCAGAGACAGAUAUCUUCGUAAGCCAUAUGUCAUUAACCUUAUGGAUGAGCUAACUCUUAAAGGUAUUACACAAUAUUACGCAUUUGUGGAAGAGAGGCAGAAAGUCCACUGCCUAAAUACUCUUUUCUCUAAGCUGCAAAUUAACCAGUCAAUCAUCUUCUGCAAUUCCGUGAAUCGGGUUGAACUUCUCGCCAAGAAAAUCACAGAACUUGGGUAUUCAUGCUUCUAUAUCCAUGCAAAGAUGUUGCAAGACCACCGUAAUAGAGUAUUUCAUGACUUCCGCAACGGUGCCUGCAGAAAUCUUGUUUGUACUGAUCUUUUCACUAGGGGAAUAGACAUCCAAGCAGUCAACGUUGUUAUUAAUUUUGAUUUUCCAAAGAACUCAGAAACUUAUCUGCACAGGGUUGGUCGUUCAGGCAGGUUUGGGCACCUAGGUUUAGCAGUGAACUUGAUUACCUAUGAGGAUCGCUUCAAUUUAUACAGGAUUGAACAAGAGCUUGGCACUGAAAUAAAGCAAAUUCCACCUCACAUUGAUCAGGCAAUAUAUUGCCGGUGACUGGUGGUAAAUACCUGGACUGUAUUCACAAACGUGGUGAAUAGCAAUGGAACUAAUCCAAAUUCUAAUCAACCAACAAAAAGGUUGAUGUGACUGUUUUUGAAGCAGUUGUGAAUGGUUUGUACAAGGAUGCACUGUGAAAAUUGGGGUAUUGUCAGACCCUUUGUUGAAUGUUUUUUUUUUUGGUUAAUUUCUUUGCUUUUUGAGAGCUCUGAAACAGUAGUAUUAGGACCUUCAGAAAGUUUAAUAUGAGCUUUCAAAUGUCACAUAAAUGCCUGGUCCAGUUUGGAUUUCCAUGGAUUACAUUUGCAGUUGUGUUUGUUACCAAGUGUUGUUACUCCAGAUUUUUCAUUUCCUCAAUAAUCCUUUGACUGUUUACAUAGGAAUGUACCUUACCAUGCAGACGUCCCUUUCCUAUUCUAAUAUGCUGUUUCUUCUUCCAUUGCCUAUCUGUUCUUCCAUUGUAUUUGAAGUGACCAUUGCCAGUUGAAGGGCAUCGAUUGCAUGAGCGUUUAUGGAUAAUUGUAGCACCAAUGGUUUUUUUGCUA